AUCGAACGCUGGCGGCAGGCCUAACACAUGCAAGUCGAACGGUAACAGGAAGAAGCUUGCUUCUUUGCUGACGAGUGGCGGACGGGUGAGUAAUGUCUGGGAAACUGCCUGAUGGAGGGGGAUAACUACUGGAAACGGUAGCUAAUACCGCAUAACGUCGCAAGACCAAAAAGGGGGACCUUCGGGCCUCUUGCCAUCGGAUGUGCCCAGAUGGGAUUAGCUAGUAGGUGGGGUAACGGCUCACCUAGGCGACGAUCCCUAGCUGGUCUGAGAGGAUGACCAGCCACACUGGAACUGAGACACGGUCCAGACUCCUACGGGAGGCAGCAGUGGGGAAUAUUGCACAAUGGGCGCAAGCCUGAUGCAGCCAUGCCGCGUGUAUGAAGAAGGCCUUCGGGUUGUAAAGUACUUUCAGCGGGGAGGAAGGGAGUAAAGUUAAUACCUUUGCUCAUUGACGUUACCCGCAGAAGAAGCACCGGCUAACUCCGUG
rnacentral:rRNA from 1 species